rnacentral:rRNA from 1 species
AACGGCAUUAAGUGCUUGCACUUUUUGGACGUCGACUGGCGCACGGGUGAGUAACGCGUAUCCAACCUGCCCCUUACCAGGGAAUAACCCGUUGAAAGACGGACUAAUGCCCUAUGCAGUCCUUUGACGGCAUCAGAUUAGGACUAAAGAUUCAUCGGUAUGGGAUGGGGAUGCGUCUGAUUAGCUUGUUGGCGGGGUAACGGCCCACCAAGGCAUCGAUCAGUAGGGGUUCUGAGAGGAAGGUCCCCCACAUAGGAACUGAGACACGGUCCUAACUCCUACGGGAGGCAGCAGUGAGGAAUAUUGGUCAAUGGGCGCUAGCCUGAACCAGCCAAGUAGCGUGCAGGACGACGGCCCUAUGGGUUGUAAACUG